rnacentral:rRNA from 1 species
GAUGAACGCUGGCGGCGUGCCUAAUACAUGCAAGUCGAGCGAACAGAUAAGGAGCUUGCUCCUUUGACGUUAGCGGCGGACCGGUGAGUAACACGUGGGUAACCUACCUAUAAGACUGGGAUAACUUCGGGAAACCGGAGCUAAUACCGGAUAACAUUUGGAACCGCAUGGUUCUAAAGUGAAAGAUGGUUUUGCUAUCACUUAUAGAUGGACCCGCGCCGUAUUAGCUAGUUGGUAAGGUAACGGCUUACCAAGGCGACGAUACGUAGCCGACCUGAGAGGGUGAUCGGCCACACUGGAACUGAGACACGGUCCAGACUCCUACGGGAGGCAGCAGUAGGGAAUCUUCCGCAAUGGGCGAAAGCCUGACGGAGCAACGCCGCGUGAGUGAUGAAGGGUUUCGGCUCGUAAAACUCUGUUAUUAGGGAAGAACAAACGUGUAAGUAACUGUGCACGUCUUGACGGUACCUAAUCAGAAAGCCACGGCUAACUACGUG